GACGAACGCUGGCGGCGUGCUUAACACAUGCAAGUCGAACGGAAAGGCCCUGCUUUUGUGGGGUGCUCGAGUGGCGAACGGGUGAGUAACACGUGAGCAAUCUGCCCUUGACUUUGGGAUAACUUCAGGAAACUGGGGCUAAUACCGGAUAGGAGCUCCUGCUGCAUGGUGGGGGUUGGAAAGUUUCGGCGGUUGGGGAUGGACUCGCGGCUUAUCAGCUUGUUGGUGGGGUAGUGGCUUACCAAGGCUUUGACGGGUAGCCGGCCUGAGAGGGUGACCGGCCACAUUGGGACUGAGAUACGGCCCAGACUCCUACGGGAGGCAGCAGUGGGGAAUAUUGCACAAUGGGCGGAAGCCUGAUGCAGCAACGCCGCGUGCGGGAUGACGGCCUUCGGGUUGUAAACCGCUUUCGCCUGUGACGAAGCGUGAGUGACGGUAAUGGGUAAAGAAGCACCGGCUAACUACGUG
rnacentral:rRNA from 1 species